UUUCCGUAGGUGAACCUGCGGAAGGAUCAUUAAAAAAUUGGACUCCAUUGGUGAGUUCAUUAAUAAUCCCUACCCUUUGUGAAUUUGUUUGUUUGAAUAAUUUUUUUUCCAAAAAAGAUUAUUGAAUGUCUUUCCUUGUUUUGGUGGAGCUUGUAAAGUGAAACCAGGCAGGGGAAUGGCAAACAAUAAUUAUUUUUGAAAAAGACCUUUUUUUAAAAUUAAACUUUUUGUAUUCAUUUGUCUAAAAUUAAUUUUUAUAAUAUAAAAACAACUUUUGACAAUGGAUCUCUUGGUUCUCGCAACGAUGAAGAACGCAGCAAAAUGCGAUAAGUAGUGUGAAUUGCAGAAUACGUGAAUCAUCGAAUCUUCGAACGCAUAUUGCACUUUUUUAGUUUACUAAAAAAGUAUGUCUGUUUGAGUAUCAGUAAAUAUUCUCAUAAAAAACAUUGUUUUUUUUAUGGUUAUGAGUGUUUUACAACGAUAACAAGUUGUUUCACUUUAAAUUCUUUGUUAUCAAAAAAAUCAUUAAAAGCUAAUUUUAAAGAUUUUUUAAAAUUGGAUAAAAUUUUCCCGUAAAAAGGAAUAACCUAAACAAUUUUAAAAAAUUAAAAUUGGUUUGAUUUUUUUUGAAACCCAAAGGAAAAAAAAACGAAAUUAACUUGAUCUCAAAUCAGAUAAGAGUACCCGCUGAACUUAAGCAUAUCAACAAGCGGAGGAAAAGAAACUAACUAGGAUUCCCUCAGUAACGGCGAGUGAAGCGGGAAGAGCUCAAAUUUGAAAUCUUCAAGGCUUUACCUUGACGAAUUGUAGUUUAAAGAAGUGUUUCUGUUGGAGUUUGGUAAAAGUUCUUUGGAAAAGGACAUCAUAGAGGGUGAGAAUCCCGUAUUUGACCAUUAUCUCCAGCUUUGUGAUACACUUUCAAAGAGUCGGAUUGUUUGGGAAUGCAGUCCAAAAUGGGUGGUAAAUUUCAUCUAAAGCUAAAUACUGGCGAGAGACCGAUAGCGAACAAGUACCGUGAGGGAAAGAUGAAAAGAACUUUGAAAAGAGAGUUAAACAGUACGUGAAAUUGUCAAAAGGGAAGCGUUUGACACCAGUGUUGUUUUCUCGAAAAUCAAUUAAAAAAGGCCGGAUUUUGUGUUGUAUUGACUUUAUCAGCUUUCUGCACUCUUUUCUUGUCUUUUUUAAUGCACUUUUCGUUUAACAAGUCAACAUCAAUUUCUU
rnacentral:misc_RNA from 1 species